rnacentral:rRNA from 1 species
GACGUAGGGCGCGAGCGUUGUCCGGAUUUAUUGGGCGUAAAGAGCUCGUAGGCGGCUUGUCGCGUCGACUGUGAAAUCCCGCGGCUCAACUGCGGGUCUGCAGUCGAUACGGGCAGGCUAGAGUUCGGUAGGGGAGACUGGAAUUCCUGGUGUAGCGGUGGAAUGCGCAGAUAUCAGGAGGAACACCGAUGGCGAAGGCAGAUCUCUGGGCCGUAACUGACGCUGAGGAGCGAAAGCAUGGGGGAGCGAACAGG